rnacentral:rRNA from 1 species
ACGAUAUGCUUUGGGGAGCUGUAAGUAAGCUUUGAUCCAGAGAUUUCCGAAUGGGGAAACCCAGCAUGAGUUAUGUCAUGUUAUCGAUAUGUGAAUACAUAGCAUAUCAGAAGGCACACCCGGAGAACUGAAACAUCUUAGUACCCGGAGGAAGAGAAAGAAAAUUCGAUUCCCUUAGUAGCGGCGAGCGAAACGGGAAGAGCCCAAACCAACAAGCUUGCUUGUUGGGGUUGUAGGACACUCUAUACGGAGUUACAAAGGACGACAUUAGACGAAUCAUCUGGAAAGAUGAAUCAAAGAAGGUAAUAAUCCUGUAGUCGAAAAUGUUGUCUCUCUUGAGUGGAUCCUGAGUACGACGGAGCACGUGAAAUUCCGUCGGAAUCUGGGAGGACCAUCUCCUAAGGCUAAAUACUCUCUAGUGACCGAUAGUGAACCAGUACCGUGAGGGAAAGGUGAAAAGCACCCCGGAAGGGGAGUGAAAUAGAACCUGAAACCGUGUGCUUACAAGUAGUCAGAGCCCGUUAAUGGGUGAUGGCGUGCCUUUUGUAGAAUGAACCGGCGAGUUACGAUUUGAUGCAAGGUUAAGCAGUAAAUGUGGAGCCGUAGCGAAAGCGAGUCUGAAUAGGGCGUUUAGUAUUUGGUCGUAGACCCGAAACCAGGUGAUCUACCCUUGGUCAGGUUGAAGUUCAGGUAACACUGAAUGGAGGACCGAACCGACUUACGUUGAAAAGUGAGCGGAUGAACUGAGGGUAGCGGAGAAAUUCCAAUCGAACCUGGAGAUAGCUGGUUCUCUCCGAAAUAGCUUUAGGGCUAGCCUCAAGUGAUGAUUAUUGGAGGUAGAGCACUGUUUGGACGAGGGGCCCCUCUCGGGUUACCGAAUUCAGACAAACUCCGAAUGCCAAUUAAUUUAACUUGGGAGUCAGAACAUGGGUGAUAAGGUCCGUGUUCGAAAGGGAAACAGCCCAGACCACCAGCUAAGGUCCCAAAAUAUAUGUUAAGUGGAAAAGGAUGUGGCGUUGCCCAGACAACUAGGAUGUUGGCUUAGAAGCAGCCAUCAUUUAAAGAGUGCGUAAUAGCUCACUAGUCGAGUGACACUGCGCCGAAAAUGUACCGGGGCUAAACAUAUUACCGAAGCUGUGGAUUGUCCUUUGGACAAUGGUAGGAGAGCGUUCUAAGGGCGUUGAAGCAUGAUCGUAAGGACAUGUGGAGCGCUUAGAAGUGAGAAUGCCGGUGUGAGUAGCGAAAGACGGGUGAGAAUCCCGUCCACCGAUUGACUAAGGUUUCCAGAGGAAGGCUCGUCCGCUCUGGGUUAGUCGGGUCCUAAGCUGAGGCCGACAGGCGUAGGCGAUGGAUAACAGGUUGAUAUUCCUGUACCACCUAUAAUCGUUUUAAUCGAUGGGGGGACGCAGUAGGAUAGGCGAAGCGUGCGAUUGGAUUGCACGUCUAAGCAGUAAGGCUGAGUAUUAGGCAAAUCCGGUACUCGUUAAGGCUGAGCUGUGAUGGGGAGAAGACAUUGUGUCUUCGAGUCGUUGAUUUCACACUGCCGAGAAAAGCCUCUAGAUAGAAAAUAGGUGCCCGUACCGCAAACCGACACAGGUAGUCAAGAUGAGAAUUCUAAGGUGAGCGAGCGAACUCUCGUUAAGGAACUCGGCAAAAUGACCCCGUAACUUCGGGAGAAGGGGUGCUCUUUAGGGUUAACGCCCAGAAGAGCCGCAGUGAAUAGGCCCAAGCGACUGUUUAUCAAAAACACAGGUCUCUGCUAAACCGUAAGGUGAUGUAUAGGGGCUGACGCCUGCCCGGUGCUGGAAGGUUAAGAGGAGUGGUUAGCUUCUGCGAAGCUACGAAUCGAAGCCCCAGUAAACGGCGGCCGUAACUAUAACGGUCCUAAGGUAGCGAAAUUCCUUGUCGGGUAAGUUCCGACCCGCACGAAAGGCGUAACGAUUUGGGCACUGUCUCAACGAGAGACUCGGUGAAAUCAUAGUACCUGUGAAGAUGCAGGUUACCCGCGACAGGACGGAAAGACCCCGUGGAGCUUUACUGUAGCCUGAUAUUGAAAUUCGGCACAGCUUGUACAGGAUAGGUAGGAGCCUUUGAAACGUGAGCGCUAGCUUACGUGGAGGCGCUGGUGGGAUACUACCCUAGCUGUGUUGGCUUUCUAACCCGCACCACUUAUCGUGGUGGGAGACAGUGUCAGGCGGGCAGUUUGACUGGGGCGGUCGCCUCCUAAAAGGUAACGGAGGCGCUCAAAGGUUCCCUCAGAAUGGUUGGAAAUCAUUCAUAGAGUGUAAAGGCAUAAGGGAGCUUGACUGCGAGACCUACAAGUCGAGCAGGGUCGAAAGACGGACUUAGUGAUCCGGUGGUUCCGCAUGGAAGGGCCAUCGCUCAACGGAUAAAAGCUACCCCGGGGAUAACAGGCUUAUCUCCCCCAAGAGUUCACAUCGACGGGGAGGUUUGGCACCUCGAUGUCGGCUCAUCGCAUCCUGGGGCUGUAGUCGGUCCCAAGGGUUGGGCUGUUCGCCCAUUAAAGCGGUACGCGAGCUGGGUUCAGAACGUCGUGAGACAGUUCGGUCCCUAUCCGUCGUGGGCGUAGGAAAUUUGAGAGGAGCUGUCCUUAGUACGAGAGGACCGGGAUGGACAUACCUCUGGUGUACCAGUUGUCGUGCCAACGGCAUAGCUGGGUAGCUAUGUGUGGACGGGAUAAGUGCUGAAAGCAUCUAAGCAUGAAGCCCCCCUCAAGAUGAGAUUUCCCAACUUCGGUUAUAAGAUCCCUCAAAGAUGAUGAGGUUAAUAGGUUCGAGGUGGAAGCAUGGUGACAUGUGGAGCUGACGAAUACUAAUCGAUCGAAGACUUAAUC